rnacentral:rRNA from 1 species
GACAAACGCUGGCGGCAUGCCUAACACAUGCAAGUCGAACGGACAGAACAGGGAAGCUUUUCGGAGUGGAACUGGAAAGUUAGUGGCGGAAGGGUGAGUAACGCGUGGACAACCUACCUUGUAAAGGGGAAUAACCUCGAGAAAUCGAAGCUAAUACCCCAUAAUAACCUUGCUUCGCAUGAAGUAAGGAGGAAAGGCGGCCUUUGCGCUGUCGAUACAAGAUGGGUCCGCGUCUGAUUAGCUAGUUGGUGAGGUAAAGGCUCACCAAGGCGACGAUCAGUAGCCGGCCUGAGAGGGUGAUCGGCCACAUUGGGACUGAGACACGGCCCAGACUCCUACGGGAGGCAGCAGUGGGGAAUCUUCCGCAAUGGGCGAAAGCCUGACGGAGCAAUGCCGCGUGAGUGAAGAAGGCCUUCGGGUUGUAAAACUCUGUCCUUAUCGAAGAGAGAGUGUUGUAGUAACUGACAACACUAGGACGGUAGAUGAGGAGGAAGCCCCGGCUAACUAUGUG